rnacentral:rRNA from 1 species
CAAUAGCGUAUAUUAAAGCUGUUGCGGUUAAAAAGCUCGUAGUUGGAUUUCUGUCAAGGACAACUGGUCCGCCCCUCGGGUGAGCACAUAGUUUGGUCUUGGCAUCUUGUUGGAAACUGUUGCUGCACUUGGUUGUGUGGCGCAGUGUCCAGCACUUUCACUUUGAGGAAAUUGGAGUGUUUCAAGCAGGCACAUGCCUUUGGACACAGUAGCAUGGAAUAAUUAGAUUGGGCUUUUGCUCCAACUUGUCGGUUUCUGGAGCUGAGGUGAGAAUUAAUGGGGAUUGUUGGGGGCAUCCGAAUUUAGCCGUCAGAGGUGAAAUUCUUGGAUCUGCUAAAGACGGACAACUGCGAGAGCGUUUGCCCAGGAUGUUUUCAUUGA